AGAGCGAACGCUGGCGGCAUGCUUAACACAUGCAAGUCGCACGGGCAGGGGAAACCCUGUCAGUGGCGGACGGGUGAGUAACGCGUAGGUAUCUAUCCUUGGGUGGGGGAUAACGGUUGGAAACGACUGCUAAUACCGCAUGAUAACUGAGGUUUAAAGGCGCAAGUCGCCUGGGGAGGAGCCUGCGUACGAUUAGCUUGUUGGUGGGGUAAAGGCCUACCAAGGCGACGAUCGUUAGCUGGUCUGAGAGGAUGAUCAGCCACAUUGGGACUGAGACACGGCCCAAACUCCUACGGGAGGCAGCAGUGGGGAAUCUUGCGCAAUGCGCGAAAGCGUGACGCAGCAACGCCGCGUGGGGGAAGACGGCCUUCGGGUUGUAAACCCCUUUCAGUUGGGACGAAGCUCCGCCGGUGAAUAGCCGGCUGGAGUGACGGUACCUUCAGAAGAAGCCCCGGCUAACUACGCGCCAGCACGCCGC
rnacentral:rRNA from 1 species